UCGAGAAUCUUCGGCAAUGGGCGCAAGCCUGACCGAGCGACGCCGCGUGUGGGAUGAAGGCCUUCGGGUUGUAAACCACUGUCAGUGGGGAGGAAGGCUCCGUGCAGAGCGGGGUUUGACCUAUCCGCAGAGGAAGUGUGGGCUAAGCUCGUGCCAGCAGCCGCGGUAAGACGAGCCACACAAACGUUAUUCGGAUUUACUGGGCUUAAAGGGUGCGUAGGCGGCGCGGAAAGUUGGGUGUGAAAUCCCUCGGCUCAACCGAGGAACAGCGCCCAAAACUACCGUGCUCGAGGGAGAUAGAGGUGAGCGGAACUUAGGGUGGAGCGGUGAAAUGCGUUGAUAUCCUAAGGAACACCGGUGGCGAAAGCGGCUCACUGGAUCUCUUCUGACGCUGAUGCACGAAAGCUAGGGUAGCGAACGGGAUUAGAUACCCCCGUAGUCC
rnacentral:rRNA from 1 species